AAACAAAAUAAGUCAAAUCAAAAACUAUGAAGGACAUUGUGUUUGAGUGUGUGUGCGUGUGUGUGUCAAAGUGUGUGUGUGUGUGUGUGUGUGUGUGUGUGUGUG